ensembl:lncRNA
AACAGAUAAUGCUCAUCUUCAGUGGCUGCCAAGAUCAGUGCCCUGAGCUGGGAGAAACCACAGAAGUCGCCCUUCCUGCCCACGCCUCUAGGGGUCAGCGAGAGAAGCCAGACUUGGGAGCAGGUCAGCUGGGCUUGGCUGAUGUCCGGGUCACUCCUCCUGUCAGCAGCGUGGGCAGAGAUUGUAGUUGUGAUAGAUGGAACACCAGCAGCCAUCUCAAACUAAGACGUGGCCUCUAGGAUGGAGGAGCGGAAACAAAGAAGGAGCCUGGGUCCUGAUGACUUGAUAGGAAGACCUUCCCAGCCCGCUGAUGGCUACCUCUGGACUUUGUGUGUGAGAUACAAAUGCUGGUGGCUUUGAGUCACUAGAUCAUGGGGGAUCUGAUGCUUGCUUGAGUGCUAUGCUAUGUAAAUUAAGUUGAUUGAGUGAUUGAUUACAGUGAGGAAACAGCACAUCUGAUGACCCUGACUCCUGCCCAUCCAUCUUCCUGGAGUAAGGUCACCAGAAGAUGGAAUUGGCAGAGUCACACGCUGAGGGGGUGUCUGGCUCUGGCCAGAGAGGAGCCUACGGUGCUCACUCUGCGCACCGCAGGACCCACCUCUCUCCUCGGCCACUAGGACGCUCAUGCAGCCAGCCUCAGUGAUCCUCCUCCUCCCUACAUGCUGCACGGAGCAUUCAGGGCAGAGCACGGUCCAAGGUCUAUGAUGGGGGAGGGGGAUGCACCUCCCUUCUGGUCCCUUCUGGAACCUUCUGGAACCCUCUGGAACUUCCAACCACUCAGCACAGUCCUGGUGGACAGGGUGGCUUGGUUCCGCUCCCUCCAGCGCCUUCUCCGGGCCAGCACAGGAUGCAGCAGGCAGCCUCUCGGGCACACUGGGAGAGUCAUGAAGUUCCCUCCUGACAGCCAAGAUGUCAGUGCCACCAGCCACUGCGCCACCUGCUCAGAGGGCUUUGUCCAUGUUUGUGUGCGCAGUGGUGGCCUCUGUCCCCAGUGCCACAUCCGGGGAACCACUCAGCAGCUUCUCCGAGCCCACUGCUGAGCCUCAUGUGGCUGUCCUCUGGCCCAUCCCUCUGAGCACAGCCAUGCCCCUCCUCCUGAUAGGGACAGAUGGAUUGGUGUCCCCACAUUUUGCCUCCACUGCCCAGCCCCUGGGCUCCCCAGUGUCCUGCGCUUCUUGUUGAGGGUCCCCAGUCAGCUCCCCAAGCAGAACAGAUCCAAACUCGGCUCCUUUGUGUCACCCCAGCCUCUGUGGUGUCAGCGGAUGGCGCCCCCACUUCCAAGGUGCUCAGCCCUAAAGCCUGGGGCUUGUUGCCUGGCCAGCUCUGCUGCCUACGGUCCUCCACCAGGAAAUCCUGUCAGCCUUGCCUUCAAGGGAUAACAGACCUCCACAACUUUUUACCAGGUGGCUGUUUCUAGCCUGGGCAGAGCCACCUCUCCCUCUCUUCAGCCUCCCUGGCGUCUCAGCUAUUCCUUAAAUCCCACAAACACGUCCUGCCUCGGGGCCUUCAUCCUGCUGCACCCUCUGCCCUAAUGCUCUUCCUUCAGGUAGCUACAUGGCUCACUCCUUCCUUCUCUGUUCAGUUUCCCAGCACCCAUGUCAACCCUCUGCAUCUGCUAUGGUUAGGGUGUGUUUGUCCCCAAAGGAGCAGGUGCCAGACUGUUUGUCCCAGUGUCUCAGUGUCCAGGUGCUGAACUUUAAGGGGUGG